rnacentral:rRNA from 1 species
AGGACGAACGCUGGCGGCGUGCUUAACACAUGCAAGUCGAGCGGGGCUCCUCCUUCGGGAGGAUGCCCUAGCGGCGAACGGGUGAGUAACACGUGGGCAACCUGCCCCUAGCACUGGGAUAACCCCGGGAAACCGGGGCUAAUACCGGAUACGACUUCGGAAGGCAUCUUCUGAAGUGGAAAAGGUUACUGGCUAGGGAUGGGCCCGCGGCCUAUCAGCUUGUUGGUGGGGUAAUGGCCCACCAAGGCGACGACGGGUAGCCGGCCUGAGAGGGCGACCGGCCACACUGGGACUGAGACACGGCCCAGACUCCUACGGGAGGCAGCAGUGGGGAUAUUGCACAAUGGGCGAAAGCCUGAUGCAGCGACGCCGCGUGAGGGAUGACGGCCUUCGGGUUGUAAACCUCUUUCAGCAGGGACGAAGCGAAAGUGACGGUACCUGCAGAAGAAGCACCGGCCAACUACGUGCCAGCAGCCGC